rnacentral:rRNA from 1 species
UACGUAGGCAGCGAGCGUUGUUCGGAAUUACUGGGCGUAAAGAGUGUGUAGGCGGUGCUCUAAGUUCGGUGUGAAAUCUCCCGGCUUAACUGGGAGGGUGCGCCGGAAACUGGAGUGCUCGAACGUGGGAGAGGAAAGCGGAAUUCCCGGUGUAGCGGUGAAAUGCGCAGAUAUCGGUAGGAACACCAGUGGCGAAAGGCGGUCUCCUGGAGCAGACUUGACGCUGAGGCGGCGAAAGCUGGGGGGAGCGAAACGGG